GGCUAAAUACUACCUAGUGACCGAUAGCGUAUAGUACCGUGAGGGAAAGGUGAAAAGAACCCCGGGAGGGGAGUGAAAUAGAACCUGAAACCCUGCACUUACAAGCUGUGGAAGCACAUUUCUUGUGUGACCGCGUACUUUUUGUAGAACGGGCCAACGAGUUACGUUAAGUAGCAAGGUUAAGCACUUAAGGUGCGGAGCCGUAGCGAAAGCGAGUUUUAACUGAGCGUUCAGUUACUUGACGUAGACCCGAAACCGGGCGACCUACCCAUGAGCAGGAUGAAGCGAAAGUAAAAUUUCGUGGAGGUCCGAACCCACGAGCGUUGAAAAGCUCGGGGAUGACUUGUGGGUAGCGGUGAAAUUCCAAUCGAGCCCGGAGAUAGCUGGUUCUCCCCGAAAUAGCUUUAGGGCUAGCCUCAAGGUGAGAGAUACGGAGGUAGAGCACUGAAUGUCCUAGGGGGUAUUGCACCUACCGAAGACUAUCAAAC
rnacentral:rRNA from 1 species